UGGUUGGUGUUUGAUAUAGCUUAUGAUGCCAUUGAAUAUAAUCGUGUGUGGCUGAUGGCCGAACGCAACUGCACUUGACAGUUGAAGGUCACUCCCAAUGACCACUCGAUUAGAAAAUCUGUCUAGAUGAAUUCAAUGAAUUCGGCAAAUUCCUAUCACUAGGUGUGAUAGAAACAUUGCUGACGUCAAAUUCUACGACCAAAUAGUUAUUAAAA
ensembl:ncRNA T28C12.11 ncRNA